rnacentral:rRNA from 1 species
AUGAAUUGCCUCUUUUGGAAUGCAAGAGGGAUUAAUGCCCCUGGUAGAAAGAAGAGCUUGACUGACCUUAUUAACAAGACCAACCCUACCACUAUUGGACUCCAGGAGACUAAGAAAGAAAUCAUUUAUGAUUCCUUCCUGAAAUCCAUCGUUAGUAACAGGAAUUUUGCUUGGAAUUUGCCACCUGCCAAUGGCUCUGCAGGAGGCAUCUUGGUAGGGGUUGACUCUGACAUGUACGAAGUUUUAAACUAGGAAAUUCUUAAGUUCUUAGUUUCCUGUCAUGUCAAAUCCAAAAUCACUGGGGUCAACUUUAGAGUAGUUGUAGUCUAUGGUUCAGCCUACGAGCAAGGGAAAAAGCAGUUCAUUUCUGAAUUACACUCCCUGUUUGUGGACUGUGAAACCCCUACCCUUAUAGGUGGGGAUUUCAAUCUAGUCAGG